CGAGGCGGUCGGAUGGCCGCGCGAUCGAGCCGGGGCGACCCGUCAUCGAUCGUGAGGAAAGUCCGAGCUCCUCAGCGCAGGGUGGCGGGUAACGCCCGUCCGUCGCGAGACGAGGACCAGUGCCACAGUGACGAUGCCGUCGACCGACCUACGGGCCGGCCGGUGGAGUGAAACGCGGCAAACUCCACCCGGAGCAAGGCCAAAUAGGAGGGCGCAACCAGGAUCGGGUGACCGGUCCGGGGGAGAGGUGCGCUGCCCAGCCCUCGGGUCGGCCGCAUGAGCCGUCGGGUAACCGGCGGCCUGAGAUGGAUGGCCAUCCUCGGCGCGCACAUCGUUGCGCGACGGGACAGAACUCGGCUUACAGACCGCCUCGCUGG
rnacentral:RNase_P_RNA from 1 species